rnacentral:rRNA from 1 species
AUUGAACGCUGGCGGCAUGCCUUACACAUGCAAGUCGAACGGCAGCACGGGAGCAAUCCUGGUGGCGAGUGGCGAACGGGUGAGUAAUAUAUCGGAACGUGCCCGGUCGUGGGGGAUAACGUAGCGAAAGCUACGCUAAUACCGCAUACGAUCUACGGAUGAAAGCGGGGGAUCGCAAGACCUCGCGCGAUUGGAGCGGCCGAUAUCAGAUUAGGUAGUUGGUGAGGUAAAGGCUCACCAAGCCGACGAUCUGUAGCUGGUCUGAGAGGACGACCAGCCACACUGGGACUGAGACACGGCCCAGACUCCUACGGGAGGCAGCAGUGGGGAAUUUUGGACAAUGGGCGCAAGCCUGAUCCAGCAAUGCCGCGUGCAGGAUGAAGGCCUUCGGUUGUAACU